rnacentral:lncRNA from 1 species
AGAACCUUUACUCCAACUCCAGCCAUUCAAAAGAAUAAACUGCAUCUACCUUCCAGCUGCUGUCCACCCAGCUCUGCUGCACACAGCCAGGCUGGAGAGCUUUUUCAUGGAUUAGAAGAUGCCCCCUUAUCCCCCUUGUCUGACUCUGGUGGUUUCAGGGGUUGCUGUCAGGUUCAUGCUGUGAAUAAACCAGAGGAGGAAAAGAUUAUCCCUGGUGUCAUGGUUGGUGGCCAGGAGGAAUCUGACGAAGGUUUUAGGACACACUUCAAAAGUGGAGACUAGAGCCGGAGUAUUGGAGCGCCCCGAUCAGGCAGCGCUGUGGACACCUGUCUCACCAG